rnacentral:rRNA from 1 species
AUUGAACGCUGGCGGCAUGCUUUACACAUGCAAGUCGAACGGUAACAGGCCUUCGGGUGCUGACGAGUGGCGAACGGGGGAGUAAUGCAUCGGAACGUACCCAGAGGUGGGGGAUAACGCAGCGAAAGCUGUGCUAAUACCGCAUGUGAUCUGAGGAUUAAAGCGGGGGACCGAGCAGCAAUGUUUGGCCUCGCGCCUUUGUAGCGGCCGAUGUCGGAUUAGCUAGUUGGUGGGGUAAAGGCCUACCAAGGCGACGAUCCGUAGCUGGUCUGAGAGGACGACCAGCCACACUGGGACUGAGACACGGCCCAGACUCCUACGGGAGGCAGCAGUGGGGAAUUUUGGACAAUGGGCGCAAGCCUGAUCCAGCAAUGCCGCGUGAGGGAAGAAGGCCUUCGGGUUGUAAACCGCUUUUGGCAGGAACGAAACGGUGUCCGCUAAUACCGGGCGAUAAUGACGGUACCUGCAGAAUAAGCACCGGCUAACUACGUG